rnacentral:rRNA from 1 species
GAUGAACGCUGGCGGCGUGCCUAACACAUGCAAGUCGAACGGGGUUAUUUUGGAAAAGUCCUUCGGGACUGGAAUCUUUAACCUAGUGGCGGACGGGUGAGUAACGCGUGAGCAAUCUGCCUCGGAGUGGGGGAUAACAGCCGGAAACGGCUGCUAAUACCGCAUAAUGUAUAGAAGCCGCAUGGCUUAUAUACCAAAGGCUUGCUGCUCUGAGAUGAGCUCGCGUCUGAUUUAGCUAGUUGGUGAGGUAACGGCUCACCAAGGCGACGAUCAGUAGCCGGACUGAGAGGUUGAACGGCCACAUUGGGGACUGAGACACGGCCCAGACACCUACGGGAGGCAG